rnacentral:rRNA from 1 species
UGCAUGUCUAAGUAUAAGCAAUUAUACGGCGAAACUGCGAAUGGCUCAUUAUAUAAGUUAUCGUUUAUUUGAUAGUACCUUACUACUUGGAUAACCGUGGUAAUUCUAGAGCUAAUACAUGCUUAAAAUCCCGACUUCGGAAGGGAUGUAUUUAUUAGAUUAAAAACCAAUGCCCUUCGGGGCUCUCUGGUGAUUCAUGAUAACUUCUCGAAUCGCAUGGCCUUGCGCCGGCGAUGGUUCAUUCAAAUUUCUUCCCUAUCAACUUUCGAUGUUUGGGUAUUGGCCAAACAUGGUUGCAACGGGUAACGGAGGGUUAGGGCUCGACCCCGGAGAAGGAGCCUGAGAAACGGCUACUACAUCCAAGGAAGGCAGCAGGCGCGCAAAUUACCCAAUCCCGACUCGGGGAGGUAGUGACAAUAAAUACUGAUACAGGGUUCUUUUGGAUCUUGUAAUUGGAAUGAGUACAAUUUAAAUCCCUUAACGAGGAACAAUUGGAGGGCAAGUCUGGUGCCAGCAGCCGCGGUAAUUCCAGCUCCAAUAGCGUAUAUUAAAGUUGUUGUGGUUAAAAAGCUCGUAGUUGAACCUUGGGCCUGGCUGGCCGGUCCGCCUCACCGCGUGUACUGGUCCGGCCGGGCCUUUCCCUCUGUGGAACCCUAUGCCCUUCACUGGGUGUAGCGGGGAAACAGGACUUUUACUUUGAAAAAAUUAGAGUGCUCCAGGCAGGCCUUUGCUCGAAUACAUUAGCAUGGAAUAAUAAAAUAGGACGUGUGGUUCUAUUUUGUUGGUUUCUAGGACCGCCGUAAUGAUUAAUAGGGACAGUCGGGGGCAUCAGUAUUCAAUUGUCAGAGGUGAAAUUCUUGGAUUUAUUGAAGACUAACUACUGCGAAAGCAUUUGCCAAGGAUGUUUUCAUUAAUCAGGAACGAAAGUUAGGGGAUCGAAGA